AUUUUCCACAUACGAUUAAUAUUUCAAAAAAAAAAAAAAAAAAAAAAAAUCAUUGACACACUAUCGUAUAUUAUAAUGUAUCGUUAAUAAUUACAAACACAUUAUUAUUAUAAUAAUAUUAUAUCAAACAGUAUGUGCGUGUAUCUGUUUUUUUAAUUCCGUCGAAUUAAGAGAGGUAUUACCGCAAUAAUAUUAUACGGCGAUAAAAUAUUAUAAUAUUGUACAUUUUAUAUCGCACAUAAAAAAAAAAAAAAAAAAAAAAAACACUAGGUAUUAUUAUUAUAUAACAUCAGACUUUCGUCGUACAACCCCACCCAGUGUGUGUGUGUGCGUGUGUGUGUUCAAACACAUUUUGUAUAAUAUUGUACAGAUACAUUCAGACAUAUGGACAAGGACGAGCGAGCCCUUAGUUUCAUUUUACAGUCUUCUGCUGUUUAACUUGGCGACUGAACGAUACCCACGUCAAUGUGCAACGCGAGGCGACGUUCACCGUGAGCCAGUGUACUAUGCCUUAUUCUGGAUUGUAACAAUAUAAUAGAAGCGUUUACUACAGUGUUUAUAGCCGUUGGACGUAGGUACCCAUAACGAUUAUAAUAGGUAACGCUAGCAAUGGGUGUGUUAUAAUCGGUAAAAGCAAUUUUUCCCAACCUGCCGAGGUAAUCCGGAAAUCGGCAAAAAUUACACAACAAAUUGCCAGUUUUAUAUGUUAUUUUUUCCCCUCGUUCAAUGUAAGCAAUAAGAGAACUACAAUGUUAAUAAAAAUAAACCGCCUCACCGGUGCGCCGACUGAAUCGAAAAUUCUUCGAGAAAAUUACCGAAAAUAAUUUCAACCGGAACAAGAUUUCUGGGAUAAAAAAAAAAAAAACGCGCACGCCAUCGCAGUUAAACCGGUACGUUCCUCGUUCGGAAUAUAAAUAAAAUAAAAAUAAAACUAAUAAAAACUGAAAAAAAAAAUACUAGUUUAAAUACCCUUUCAGCGUGUUAUAAUUUAUAAACGAGACUCUAAACGCGCAGCGUUCUUUAAAAAUCAUUAUCGAUAUUAUUACAGUCAAAUCGUUUCUGCGGUUCACUUACCGCAGUGGGUAUAAUAAUAAUAAUUUAAAAUUGUACAAAAUAUAAACGCCCGUAUUGUUGAUACCGUAAUUAAACGCGCGCGUUAUUAUAUAAGAAUACGUCUUUAUAAUCGAACGUGAACAAUUUCGAUAUUGGAAUUGGUUUUUUUUUUUCUUUACAUAUUUAUAUAUAUAUAUGUAUGUAGUCGCAGAGAGAAUCAUUAAUUUGGAGCACUGCAAUUUAUCAGUAUUUUUUUUUUCUUUUUUUUUUUCUUUAACCGAUGCC